rnacentral:rRNA from 1 species
GUGGGGAAUUUUGGACAAUGGGCGCAAGCCUGAUCCAGCAAUGCCGCGUGCAGGAAGAAGGCCUUCGGGUUGUAAACUGCUUUUGUACGGAACGAAACGGUCCUGGUUAAUACCCGGGGCUAAUGACGGUACCGUAAGAAUAAGCACCGGCUAACUACGUGCCAGCAGCCGCGGUAAUACGUAGGGUGCAAGCGUUAAUCGGAAUUACUGGGCGUAAAGCGUGCGCAGGCGGUGCUGUAAGACAGGCGUGAAAUCCCCGGGCUUAACCUGGGAAUUGCGGUUGUGACUGCAGUGCUGGAGUGCGGCAGAGGGGGAUGGAAGUCCGCGUGUAGCAGUGAAAUGCGUAGAUAUGCGGAGGAACACCGAUGGCGAAGGCAAUCCCCUGGGCCUGCACUGACGCUCAUGCACGAAAGCGUGGGGAGCAAACAGGAUUAGAAACCCGGGUAGUCC